rnacentral:rRNA from 1 species
AUGGAUCAGCUCCCUCUUCUUGGGAGCGGCCCCAAAGCCGCAGCCAUUACCCCUUCCUUCGUCGCAACGGAUCAGUACGCCGCAUCCACAUCAGCUUCACCACCGGAAAAGGCGCCGCCGGCAGCACCGCUCCCGGCCCCGGAACACCAUGGAAAGUCCAGCCACAACAGGAGAUCAUCUGACACGAUCAAGGCCAAGAUCAUGUCGCAUCCUCUCUAUCCGGCUCUCCUCGGAGCCUUCAUAGACUGCCGGAAAGUCGGAGCGCCGCCGGAAGUCGUUGGUCGGCUCUCCUCCCUCGUCGACGAGCUCCGGCCAAAUUCAGCCGGCAGGCAGGAACAGCCGGCGGACCCAGAGCUCGACCAGUUCAUGGAGACCUACCGUGAUAUGCUGGUGAAGUACAGUCAGAAGCUCACGAGGCAAAUCCAAGACGCCAAUCAGUUCUUGAGGAGCGCCGAGGCCCAUAUCGACUCGUUUGCACUAGAUGAGCAAGAGACCGGCGAGGGCAUGCAGCAGAAGAGCCAGCUCCUGGACAAGUACAGCGGCUACCUGAGAAGCCUGUGGAAGGAGGUUUCCGGGAAGAAGAAGAAGAGCGGCAGGCUGCCGAGGGAGGCGCACCAGAGGCUCCUGCACUGGUGGCAGCUGCACCAGGGAUGGCCCUACCCAUCGGAACAGGAGAAGCUGGCGUUGGCUGAGUCGACGGGGCUCGACACGAGGCAGAUCAAUAACUGGUUCAUCAGCCAGAGGAAGCGGCACUGGAAGCCGACGCCGCCGGCGAUGGACAGCAGGUUGCAGCACAUCAACGCCGGUGCUUCCAGCAGCAGCUCUCCUGCGGUCCUUGGGAUGGAAGGGCAGCACUUCACCGUACGGAGUGGGUGUCCCGACGGUGGUCCGUUGAGACCCUGA